rnacentral:rRNA from 1 species
CGGAGAUUCAGCAAUGGAUCUUAGUGGCGAACGGGUGAGUAACGCGUAGGCAAUCUGCCUUCUAGAUGGGGACAACAUCCCGAAAGGGGUGCUAAUACCGAAUGUUGUACCGUUUCCGCAUGGAGAUGAUACUAAAGGUGGCCUCUGAAUAUGCUACCGCUAGAAGAUGAGCCUGCGUCUGAUUAGCUAGUUGGAGGGGUAACGGCCCACCAAGGCUUCGAUCAGUAGCCGGUCUGAGAGGAUGA